rnacentral:lncRNA from 1 species
AACACCUCCAAGGGAAAAGGGAGAGGAGUCAGCUCUGAUCGCCUGGCGCACUGUGCAGCAAAUUCAUGUCAGAGCCAGCCUUGGAAUGUCUCCCAAGCUCCCAAGGCUCCUGGUGAGGAGGAAAAGGGAUAACCUUAGGUACCUCACUGGGUUACAGCCGAUGGUGAUGAAGACAUGAAGAUGAUGCCUGUGUUCUCCUUGGGAGCCUUUCUCCCAGAUGUGAAACUGAUCCUAAGACCCCCUGUAAUUUCCUGCUGAAAAUCUCCACCAAGAAACACAGCCACAGCCACAGUUCUUCCUGUGGGGGAAAAAUGAUGUCAUCAGCUGAAAGUGAGAAGCAAGGAGAACUGCGUGCAGGCCUGAAAAGAAAGGAGGCGUGAUGCAGUCAUCUGCCAGAGGGAGUAGGAGAGGCGACUUGCCUGGGGAAAACAGUGUAGGAUUGCUGGGCAGCAAUAUGGCAGCAAUGUGGUCCUCUGAGGUCAGUGGUGAUGAAUUUAAAGGGAAACCUUUCAGUACAGCUCUGUGUUUUUCUCCAGCCACCUUUAACACCUGGAGUGCAGGCAUUAAAUAGCUAAAAGUCACAUUUGACAAGUGUUGAUUUUGCUAGGCCUAUAGGUUGGGAGAGAGAAGGUCAGAAUGGUUGUCAUUGUUAUCUAUUGCUGUGAAACACAUGACUCCAACACAAUUACUCCCAAACAACAAAUAUUUAUUACCUCAUAGUUUCUGUGGGUCACAGUUUGGAAUUUGGAAGCAGCUCAGGCUGGGCAGUUCUGGCUUGGGGUCUUUCACGAGGCUGCAGUCAAAUGUUACCUCAGGUUACAGUCAUCUAAAAGCUUGUAUAGGGCUGGAGGAUCUGCUUCCAGGGUGGUGCACUCACAUGGCUGGCAAGUCAGUAGUGGUGGUUGGUGGACAACUCAGUUCCUCUACAGGCUGUCAGAGUGUACUUACAGCCUGACAACCAGCUUCUCCCAGAGCUACCAGUCCAAGAGGGAGACCUAAUCAGAAGCUAUCCUUCUUUGACCUAUGCUCAGAAGUGACAUUGCGUUCCUU